rnacentral:rRNA from 1 species
AGUCGAGCGGCAGCACAGAGAAACUUGUUUCUCGGGUGGCGAGCGGCGGACGGGUGAGUAAUGCCUGGGAAAUUGCCCUGAUGUGGGGGAUAACCAUUGGAAACGAUGGCUAAUACCGCAUAAUAGCUUCGGCUCAAAGAGGGGGACCUUCGGGCCUCUCGCGUCAGGAUAUGCCCAGGUGGGAUUAGCUAGUUGGUGAGGUAAUGGCUCACCAAGGCGACGAUCCCUAGCUGGUCUGAGAGGAUGAUCAGCCACACUGGAACUGAGACACGGUCCAGACUCCUACGGGAGGCAGCAGUGGGGAAUAUUGCACAAUGGGCGCAAGCCUGAUGCAGCCAUGCCGCGUGUGUGAAGAAGGCCUUCGGGUUGUAAAGCACUUUCAGUCGUGAGGAAGGUGGUAGUGUUAAUAGCACUAUCAUUUGACGUUAGCGACAGAAGAAGCACCGGCUAACUCCGUGCCAGCAGCCGCGGUAAUACGGAGGGUGCGAGCGUUAAUCGGAAUUACUGGGAGUAAAGCGCAUGCAGGUGGUUUGUUAAGUCAGAUGUGAAAGCCCGGGGCUCAACCUCGGAAUAGCAUUUGAAACUGGCAAGCUAGAGUACUGUAGAGGGGGGUAGAAUUUCAUGUGUA